rnacentral:sRNA from 1 species
AGGAGGCAGAGAAGGAAAAACAAUAUUUGAAAUGAGCCAAGAAACAAAUAAAUGCCAUAAAGACUAGCGUUCUGUAUUUAAGUUUCCAGUUGUUUCUAUUUUGUCUCGAAGUUGAAGGUUGAGUCAAGCCUGGAAUACUUUUAAGUUGCCAUAAUUUUUUUACAUCUGGACACCACCCCUCUUCUCUCUUUGAAUCCACAAUUCUAUCAAGCCCGUAUUUUUUCCUCUCCUUUGGCUCCUCUGUUUUCCUUCCGUGGACCCAAAAGUUGAUUAAAAUCCACUCUCCCCAUCCUUAGCCAUAGCUUGUGUUGGUUGCUCUACCUCUUGCCCUUUCAAGCUUUCUUCCUCCCUUGUUUUGUGAAGGCUAUUGAAGUUGUUGGGUGUGUCUUGCUUAUUUGAUUUCUUUCACUCUUUAGAUUACUAUAUUUUGGUUUCUAACUUUUGGCCCUUUGGGUGCAUUGCUAUUGUAGGAUUCUUGACAAAAGCACCUAGAGAAGUUGAUGGCAGGUGAAAAUGGAAACAUGCAGGAGAGGUACCAUUCUCAGAUCUGCUCUAAGAUGCCCCUGAUCACCUACAAGAGGCGCAAACAACAUGAGCAACUGGUAUAAUAUAUUAUUAAUAUCCCCUCUUUUGUUUAGCUAGUAUAGGCUAAUGGGUUAUAUGUCAUUUUUACAAUAUUUGUUUGAGUGCCUAUAAUUUAUACAUGUCAUAUUCAUGAAAAGAUGUCAACUAUUUACAC